GAUGAACGCUAGCGGCAGGCUUAAUACAUGCAAGUCGAGGGGCAACAGGGGUAGCAAUACCUGCUGGCGACCGGCAAACGGGUGCGGAACACGUACAGAACCUUCCUUUAAGCGGGGGAUAGCCCAUAGAAAUGUGGAUUAAUACCCCAUAGUAAUAUUUGAUGGCAUCAUUAGAUAUUUAAAGAUUUAUCACUUAAAGAUGGCUGUGCGGCUGAUUAGGUAGUUGGUGAGGUAACGGCUCACCAAGCCAUCGAUCAGUAACUGGUGUGAGAGCACGACCAGUCACACGGGCACUGAGACACGGGCCCGACUCCUACGGGAGGCAGCAGUAAGGAAUAUUGGUCAAUGGACGCAAGUCUGAACCAGCCAUGCCGCGUGAAGGAUGAAGGCCCUCUGGGUUGUAAACUUCUUUUAUCUGGGAAGAAUCACUUCUUUAUAGNGGUGUUGACGGUACCAGAGGAAUAAGCACCGGCUAACUCCGUGCCAGCCGCCGC
rnacentral:rRNA from 1 species